rnacentral:tRNA from 2 species
GCCGGCGUAGCACAGCAGGUAGUGCGGGGGAUUCGUAAUCUCCAGGUCGUGGGUUCGAGUCCCACCGCCGGCU